GGGGCUGGGGCUCAGCGGUAGAGCGCUCACCUAGCACGUGUGAGGCCCUGGGUUCGAUCCUCAGCACCA
rnacentral:tRNA from 1 species